CGUAAUAAGAUAAAAAACCGAGGCUGUAUAGAUAUUAGAGCAUUUAUAGAUAGAAGGUCUUACAGCUGUUCCUAGGAUAUUAAUUAUAAUAUCCCUUCAUCGGAGACGGUGUGAGAGGAAAAAUUAAGUCAUAGUUAGCUUAGAUGUGAUACAAAUUGGAGAGUGAGGAGGAGGAGA